ACGAACGCUGGCGGCGUGCCUAAUCCAUGCAAGUAGAACGCUGAAGAGAGGAGCUUGCUCUUCUUGGAUGAGUUGCGAACGGGUGAGUAACGCGUAGGUAACCUGCCUUGUAGCGGGGGAUAACUAUUGGAAACGAUAGCUAAUACCGCAUAACAAUGGAUGACACAUGUCAUUUAUUUGAAAGGGGCAAUUGCUCCACUACAAGAUGGACCUGCGUUGUAUUAGCUAGUAGGUGAGGUAAUGGCUCACCUAGGCGACGCUACAUAGCCGACCUGAGAGGGUGAUCGGCCACACUGGGACUGAGACACGGCCCAGACUCCUACGGGGGGCAGCAGGAGGGAAUCUUCGGCAAUGGGGGCAACCCUGACCGAGCAACGCCGCGUGAGUGAAGAAGGUUUUCGGAUCGUAAAGCUCUGUUGUAAGUCAAGAACGGGUGUGAGAGUGGAAAGUUCACACUGUGACGGUAGCUUACCAGAAAGGGACGGCUAACUACGUG
rnacentral:rRNA from 1 species